UACGAAGGGGGCUAGCGUUGCUCGGAAUCACUGGGCGUAAAGCGCACGUAGGCGGACUCUUAAGUCGGUGGUGAAAUCCUGGAGCUCAACUCCAGAACUGCCUUCGAUACUGAGAGUCUCGAGUCCGAGAGAGGUGAGUGGAACUGCGAGUGUAGAGGUGAAAUUCGAUAGAUAUUAGGAAGAACACCAGUGGCGAAGGCGGCUCACUGGCCCGGUACUGACGCUGAGGCGGCGAAAA
rnacentral:rRNA from 1 species